UACGUAGGGAGCAAGCGUUAUCCGGAUUUACUGGGUGUAAAGGGCGCGUAGGCGGGAUGGCAAGUCAGAUGUGAAAUCCAGGGGCUCAACCCCUGAACUGCAUUUGAAACUGUCGUUCUUGAGUACUGGAGAGGUUGACGGAAUUCCUAGUGUAGCGGUGAAAUGCGUAGAUAUUAGGAGGAACACCAGUGGCGAAGGCGGUCAACUGGACAGCAACUGACGCUGAGGCGCGAAAGCGUGGGGAGCAAACGGG
rnacentral:rRNA from 1 species